rnacentral:rRNA from 1 species
UACGUAGGGGGCAAGCGUUGUCCGGAUUUAUUGGGCGUAAAGAGCUUGUAGGCGGUCUGUCGCGUCUGCUGUGAAAACCUAGGGCUUAACUCUGGGCGUGCAGUGGGUACGGGCAGACUAGAGUGCGGUAGGGGAGACUGGAAUUCCUGGUGUAGCGGUGAAAUGCGCAGAUAUCAGGAGGAACACCGGUGGCGAAGGCGGGUCUCUGGGCCGUAACUGACGCUGGAGGAGCGAAAGCAUGGGGAGCGAACAGG